GACGAACCGUGCGAACGUUGUUCGGAAUCACUGGGCUUAAAGGGCGCGUAGGCGGCAAAUCAAGUCCGGGGUGAAAUCCCCCGGCUCAACCGGGGAAGUGGCGCCGAUACGACCUUCCUGGAGGGACGUAGGGGGACCUGGAACUUCCGGUGGAGCGGUGAAAUGCGUUGAGAUCGGAAGGAACGCCCGUGGCGAAAGCGAGGUCCUGGACGUUUUCUGACGCUGAGACGCGAAAGCCAGGGGAGCAAACGGG
rnacentral:rRNA from 1 species